rnacentral:rRNA from 1 species
CCUACGGGAGGCAGCAGUGAGGAAUAUUGGUCAAUGGGCGGGAGCCUGAACCAGCCAAGCCGCGUGAGGGAAGAAGGUACAGCGUAUCGUAAACCUCUUUUGUCAGGGAACAAAGGCGGGGACUAGUCCCCGGAUGAGGGUACCUGACGAAAAAGCAUAGGCAAACUCGGUGCCAGCAGCGGCGGUAAUACGGAGGAUGCGAGCGUUAUCCGGAUUUAUGGGGUUAAAGGGGUGCGCAGGCGGCCUGUUAAGUCAGGGGUAAAAGCCCGGGGCUCAACCCCGGCGAGCCGUUGAAACUGGCGGGCUGGAGUGGGAGAGAAGUACGCGGAAUGCGCGGUGUAGCGGUGAAAUGCUUAGAUAUCGCGCAGAACCCCGAUUGCGAAGGCAGCGUACCGGCUCCACACUGACGCUGAGGCACGAAAGCGUGGGUAUCGAACAGGAUUAGAUACCCUUGUAGUC